GACGGGGGGGCAAGUGUUCUUCGGAAUGACUGGCGUAAGGGCACGUAGGCGGUGAAUCGGGUUGAAAGUGAAAGUCGCCAAAAAAGUGGCGGAAUGCUCUCGAAACCAAUUCACUUGAGUGAGACAGAGGAGAGUGGAAGUUUCGUGUGUAGGGGUGAAAUCCGAUAAAUAUACGAAGGAACGCCAAAAGCGAAGGCAGCUCUCUGGGUCCCUAC
rnacentral:rRNA from 1 species